rnacentral:rRNA from 1 species
AGCGGCGGACGGGUGAGUAACGCGUGGGAAUAUGCCCUUCUCUAAGGAAUAGCCUCGGGAAACUGAGAGUAAUACCUUAUACGCCCUUCGGGGGAAAGAUUUAUCGGAGAAGGAUUAGCCCGCGUUAGAUUAGGUAGUUGGUGGGGUAAUGGCCUACCAAGCCUACGAUCUAUAGCUGGUUUGAGAGGAUGAUCAGCCACACUGGGACUGAGACACGGCCCAGACUCCUACGGGAGGCAGCAGUAGGGAAUCUUAGACAAUGGGGGAAACCCUGAUCUAGCCAUGCCGCGUGUGUGAUGAAGGCCUUAGGGUCGUAAAGCACUUUCGCCAGAGAUGAUAAUGACAGUAUCUGGUAAAGAAACCCCGGCUAACUCCGUGCCAGCAGCCGCGGUAAUACGGAGGGGGUUAGCGUUGUUCGGAAUUACUGGGCGUAAAGCGCACGUAGGCGGAUUAGUAAGUUAGAGGUGAAAUCCCAGGGCUCAACCCUGGAACUGCCUUUAAUACUGCUAGUCUUGAGUUCGAGAGAGGUAAGUGGAAUUCCGAGUGUAGAGGUGAAAUUCGUAGAUAUUCGGAGGAACACCAGUGGCGAACGCGGCUUACUGGCUCGAUACUGACGCUGAGGUGCGAAAGUGUGGGGAGCAAACAGGAUUAGAUACCUUGUUAGUCCACACGA